rnacentral:rRNA from 1 species
ACGGGGCUAAAGCUCAGCACCGAAGCUACGGGCUUCGUAAGAAGCGGUAGAGGAGUACUCUCAAGUAGAUACACGCCAGACCGUGAGGACUGGUAUCGGACUUGAGAGGAGCUUAUGCAGGCAUGAGUAGCGAUAAACCGAGCGAGAAACUCGGUCGCCGUAAGUCCAAGGUUUCCUGGGGAAGGAUAAUCCGCCCAUGGGUUAGCCGGUACCUAAGCCGAGGCCGAGAGGCGUAGGUGAUGGAAAGCAGGUUAAUAUUCCUGCGCUACUAGGGACGGCGUUGAAGCGAGCGGGGACGGAGUAGGAUAGGUCGAUCCGGGCACAUGGUUGUUCCGGUUCAAGCCCGUAGGCUGGAUCUCCAGGACCCGAGAGGGACAAACAGAGAUCCGCGUAGCCGAGAGGUGAUGAGGUCAGACUUCGGUCUGGCAACUCGAUGAUUCCACACUUCCAAGAAAAGCCGCGCGCGGAGCCCCUCUAGUAACCGUACUGCAAACCGACUCAGGUGGACGGGAAGAAUAUUCCAAGGCGCGUGAGAGAACCCUGGCUAAGGAACUCUGCAAAUUGACACCGUAACUUCGGGAGAAGGUGUGCCUAUUGGCGUGUACCAACUUGCUUGGGAAGUGUCGGUAGGUCGCAGAGAAUCGGGGGUUGUGACUGUUUACUAAAAACACAGCACUCUGCUAAGUCGAAAGACGACGUAUAGGGUGUGAUGCCUGCCCGGUGCUGGAAGGUUAAGGGGACGCGUCAGCGAAAGCGAAGCGCCGAACCGAAGCCCCAGUAAACGGCGGCCGUAACUAUAACGGUCCUAAGGUAGCAAAUUCCUUGUCGGGUAAGUUCCGACCUGCACGAAUGGCAUAACAACAUCCCCACUGUCUCGGCCAGGGACUCAGCGAAAUUGUAUUGGGGGUGAAGAUACCCUCUACCCGCGGCGAGACGGAAAGACCCCAUGAACCUUUACUGCAACUUGGCAGUGAGUCUCGGAUCAUUCUGCGUAGGAUAGGUGGGAGGCUUUGAAGCCGGGCCUCUGGGUUCGGUGGAGCCACCGUUGAAAUACCACCCUGGAUGAUCUGGGAUUCUAACCUGCGUCCGUAACCCGGACGAGGGACACUGCCUGGUGGGCAGUUUGACUGGGGCGGUCGCCUCCUAAAUCGUAACGGAGGCGUGCGAAGGUCCCCUCAGCCUGAUUGGAAACCAGGCGUAGAGUGCAAACGCAAAAGGGGGCUUAACUGCGAGACCGACAGGUCGAGCAGGUGCGAAAGCAGGCGUUAGUGAUCCGGUGGUCCUGCAUGGGAGGGCCAUCGCUUAUCGGAUAAAAGGUACUCUGGGGAUAACAGGCUGAUCGCGCCUGAGAGUUCACAUCGGCGGCGCGGUUUGGCACCUCGAUGUCGGCCCAUCGCAUCCUGGGGCUGGAGCAGGUCCCAAGGGUUCGGCGAA